rnacentral:misc_RNA from 1 species
UGUGGGAGCGAGCUUGCUCGCGAUGGCGGUAUGUCAGUCAUCCUGGAUGCUGGAUGUGCCGACGCUAUCGCGAGCAAGCUCGCUCCCACA